GCAUAUUGAUUUAUUCAUUGAUAAGCUCUUUCAGCAGGAACUCUCUGGAAGAUCUGUCAGGCUGAAAUACAUUAUCUUGAUUUACAAUGCUUGUUUUGGUUCUAGAACCAUGCGAACUACAAAGCAAACAUCUCUAGAGAAAAUCUUAGAAUUCACAAGGUAUACGGAAGGAGUCCUGUAAAUUUAACAAAAGAUACUCGAUAUGCAUUAUCCAAAAUAUCCAUUCACCUAAACUCUAGAGCUUGCAUUUUUCAUCUUCUUUAUUUAAUGUUAAUGAAAGAAAAAUAAACACCUGAAAAGGUUUCACCCUGACACAGGGACUGAAGGCUAUAUCUAUAAGAACACGUAGUGAUUUUCUUUUAUUUGGUUCCAGCUUGAGGACUUGUAUUUUACAUCUUACAUAAAGUAAUUAUUAAAUUACAUUUUAAGUUUUAGUAUAUUUUGGGUGAUCACAACUUCUUUUCUUCCUAGAAUACCAAGAUAUGAGCUUGUAGAUGUGGGUUACAUUAUACUGUGUGGAAAGCGUUGUUAUGUGAAACCGCUCAGACAUGAAAACAGACUGCCUUCUAUUAAUAACAGAUGUCAAACAUUUGAUUCACCUUUCACUUCCAUAUACUUGCACCUUCUAUUUUCCCCUUCAAGAUUGGACCUCACUAUUAGGGACUAAAUGUUUGUGUUCUCCCUAAAAUCCACAUGUUGAGACUAUAACCCUCAAUGUGAUGGUAUUAAGAGAUGGGGUCUUUGGGAGGUAAUUAGGUUUAGAGGAGGCCACAAAAGUACCGUCCUCAUGAUGGGAUUAGUGCCCUAGAAAAAGAGACCAGAGAACUUGCUCCUCACCCCAGUCAAGUGAGGAUACAGCCAGAAGGCCGCCGUCCACAUACCAGGUGAAGAGCUCUCACCAGAAGCCCACCAGGCUGGCACCCUGACCUAGCACUUCCCAGUUUUCAGAAUUGUGGAAAAUAAAUGUCUGAUUUUAAGCCACCCAUUCUGUGGCAUUUUGUUAUGGCAUCUCAGACUGACUAAAACACUUUCUCAUCUUUUACUCUCAAGCCAGUCUUAAAUGUUUAGUUUAAGCAUCACCACUCCCCACCCCUGCAUUGUGUGUAUGUAUGUGGGUGUAUUAAAAAAAUAGGCAGACUAUUUUUAAACACAAGUUAUACAGCAUAUUUUCACUAUAAAAGUUGUGAGAAAUAUGAAAAGUAAAAUAUGAAAACAACUUCCUUGCCCUAACAAAUUUCUCACGUCAAGAGUAACACUGCUCACCUGUAAUCCUGGCACUUUGGAAGGCCAAAGUCCCGGAGUCAGCCAGCGAAGCAGGCGUGAGACUCUGUCUCACAAACACAAACAUUACUGGACCAGGACCUGUAAUCUCAGCUACUUGGACGGCUGAGGUGGGGGGAUCACUUGAGCCUGGGAAGCUGAGGUUUACUGUAAGUUAAGAUCAGACCACUGUACUCCAGCCUGGGCAACAGAACAAGACUCUGUCUAAAAAAAAAAAAAAAAAAAAAAAA
rnacentral:lncRNA from 1 species